CCGCACGACAAGUUCGUCCCCGUCCCCACGCACGGACGAAUCCAAUCUCAAUCCCCUCGCAUAGCCGCCGCCGCCGCCACCCUCCUCUCGCUCCUGCCGCAGGGAUCCGGCCGGCCACCAGUACUGCAGGCCCUCCACCGCGGCGCGCCGAGUCGGCGGAAGCCUCCGCUUCCCAGGCGCCCCCUAACCUGCCGCCGACGACAGAGGAUCGAUCUCUCCACCGUACGCCGGAAACCAUACUGCCUCAGGCUGCGCAGUUCCCUCCUGUUUACUCGAGCGGUUUCCCCUCUGACGUCCAUCGCCCGUACUACCUCGCCGCCGGCGAGCUUCCCGCCGACUACAGGUAUGUGAAAAGUCAAGGUGACAAACAACUGUGGUAUAAGAAUGCUGCACAUUUGACAUCGGAUUGUGCACCUGAGGUAACCGCUGAUGGUGCUCCAAUUGUUCCAUGUGGCCUUGUUGCUUGGAGUUUGUUCAAUGACACAUAUACAGUUUGGGUCAAUAGGCUGGUUAUUCAAGUGAAUAAAAAAAAGGACAUGGCUUGGAAGAGUGACAAAACAAUAAAUUCGGCAAUAAUAUCUAUCCCAGUAACUCCCAGAAGGGAAGUCUUAUAGGUGGUGCUAAGCUAAAUGAGAGCAUACCAGUACGCGGAUUUCUCUUUGACCCUGCACAUGCAUUACUUUUGGUAUUAAGGGAUCUGUGUGCUGGAAUAUAGCAGACCUUUAUUACAAUCGUUUUAUGCACACUAUAGAUUUUUUACUCAUUAACAAUUUAUUCUUCUUGUCUGGUGUUCGAACCAUCGGAUUGGUGUGUGUACUAGACAGUUGCCAGCCACCGUCGUUUACCUCCAGCUCACCGGCCAGCCGCCAUCAUCUACCUCCUGUCUUAUUGGAUCGCCGGACAGCCGUCAUCGUCUACCUCCCGCCUCGCCGGACAGCGCGGUCGUCUAACUUUGUCUCACCGGACAGCCACCGCUGUCUACCUCUGCCUCGUAGUUAAUUGUGUACUAUAAAUUCCUUCUGAGAACUUGUUAGGUUAUUCUAACUCUGCCAUGUAUCCAGGAUCUUGUUUACUGAAU
rnacentral:rRNA from 1 species